GCGAGUGAAGAAACGGAUCGCUUGUCUACCCGUGGUAGUCGCUUCGCUCGCGAGGUAGGCAAGCAUCAGCGUUGAGCGUCAGGGGGAAGGAACUCUAGUGUAGUAAGAGUUAGCAGUGGUUGCGCUGGGCUAAGAAGUGUAGAAAUCGCGUUUGUUUACAAACAUGUUAUUAUUAAAACAGUGGUGAUUUUCUCUUUUGGAUUUUAUUUGUGGACGCGAUAAUUCUUGUGAUUACUGUAAUGCUUUCAAAUUCCGUGUGUACUAGUGUGUAAUUCAGUAGUACUGAAGAAAACAGAGAUAAUUAAUGCUUUAACUUUAAUAAUAAAAUCUCAAAGAUGUAAAUUAAGGAAACAUUCUUCAAUUGUUUCGUGUUAAAUAGAUCGAUUAUUAACAGACCUACGUUUUACAAGAAAGAUUUGAAUAAUUUCAAAAUUCACAUUUCGCUAUUUCUCUUAUUUCAUUUUGGACUUUACUUGUUUUGUUAUAUUCUACACUCCAUUCUGUGCUCUUCGAAUGAGGAUCUAUUAAGCCUUUGUCCAACCAAGAACAAACUACAAACCAGCAGUUGUUUGAUUUUGGAGUUGUCUCUCAUAGAGGAGUGGCUGUCCACAGCUAACGAGCCUCAUCUGCCCAGCCAGCUGGGUCGUCUGUUGGAUAUGAUAAUGACAUUUUGUCUUGUUCUGCUGUAGGGAUUUUC